rnacentral:other from 2 species
GGAUACCUGGCGUAUGCGCCAGGCAGACAGUCCUCGAGCCGAUUAUUUUUAACCGGGGGUUUCUCGUUACUGUUGGUGUGCAUAUCCGGCUCCGCCGGAAAGCCUUAUACAGUACAGGAACCACCACCUUGAACCGUCGGGUUCAGGGCAGCACUGUCAGCGGUACGCCAGGAAUCCA